rnacentral:miRNA from 1 species
ACGUGGAUCAGUGAUAAUUGAG